GACGAACGCUGGCGGCGUGCCUAAUACAUGCAAGUCGAGCGCAGGAAACUGACGGAACUCUUCGGAGGGAAGGCAGUGGAAUGAGCGGCGGACGGGUGAGUAACACGUAAGGAACCUGCCUCAAGGAUUGGGAUAACUCCGAGAAAUCGGAGCUAAUACCGGAUAGUUCAACGGACCGCAUGGUCCGCUGAUGAAAGGCGCUCCGGCGCCACCUUGAGUUGGCCUUGCGGUGCAUUAGCUAGUUGGUGGGGUAACGGCCCACCAAGGCGACGAUGCAUAGCCGACCUGAGAGGGUGAUCGGCCACACUGGGACUGAGACACGGCCCAGACUCCUACGGGAGGCAGCAGUAGGGAAUCUUCCACAAUGGACGAAAGUCUGAUGGAGCAACGCCGCGUGAGUGAUGAAGGUUUUCGGAUCGUAAAACUCUGUUGUAAGGGAAGAACACGUACGAGAGGUAAUGCUCGUACCUUGACGGUACCUUACGAGAAAGCCACGGCUAACUACGUGCCAGCCGCCGCGGUAA
rnacentral:rRNA from 1 species